rnacentral:rRNA from 1 species
GAUGAACGCUGGCGGCGUGCCUAAUACAUGCAAGUCGAGCGAACAGAUGAGGAGCUUGCUCCUCUGACGUUAGCGGCGGACGGGUGAGUAACACGUGGAUAACCUACCUAUAAGACUGGGAUAACUUCGGGAAACCGGAGCUAAUACCGGAUAAUAUAUUGAACCGCAUGGUUCAAUAGUUAAAGACGGUUUUUCUUUCACUUAUAGAUGGAUCCGCGCCGCAUUAGCUAGUUGGUAAGGUAACGGCUUACCAAGGCGACGAUGCGUAGCCGACCUGAGAGGGUGAUCGGCCACACUGGAACUGAGACACGGUCCAGACUCCUAUGGGAGGCAGCAGUAGGGAAUCUUCCGCAAUGGGCGAAAGCCUGACGGAGCAACGCCGCGUGAGUGAUGAAGGUCUUCGGAUCGUAAAACUCUGUUAUUAGGGAAGAACAAAUGUGUAAGUAACUAUGCACGUCUUGACGGUACCUAAUCAGAAAGCCACGGCUAACUACGUG